AUUCCGUAGGUGAACCUGCGGAAGGAUCAUUAGUGAAUUGAAUAUGUUAGCGGACCCCUUCGGAGUCCCUAGCAUCAAAUCAUAUCCAUAACACCUGUGAACUGUAAGGCUGUCUUGAAAACGAAAGUGAUUAGAGCGCCUGCCCAUUUUAUACAAACAUUAAAGUAACAAACGUAGUCUUAUUAUAAUCUAUAAAACUUUCAACAACGGAUCUCUUGGCUCUC
rnacentral:misc_RNA from 1 species